rnacentral:rRNA from 1 species
UUUCCCCCAUGGGGGGAAAGCCGGAUGGGGGCAACGCCCGCCUUGUGGGAUGAAAGGGUUUCGGGCCCUUAAAAACCCUUUUUUUUAAAAGAAAGAAAAAAUUUAAGAGUAACUUUUUCAAAGUUUUACGGGUUUUUUCCCAAAAAGGAAAGGCUUAAUUUGGUGGCCCGCAGCUGCGGUAAAAAGUAGGUGCAAAGGGUUUUCCGGGUUUAUUUGGGUUUAAAGGGGGCGCAGGCGGUUUUUUUAAGUCUGAAUGUGAAAAGCCCUCCGGCUCACCUGAGGAAUUGCUUUGGGAAACUGGAAUACCUUGAGGUCAGAAGAAGAAAAGUGGAACUUCCAUGUGUAGCGGUAAAAUGGGGUAGAUAUAUUGGAAGAACCCCAGUGGCGAAGGCGGCUUUCUGGGUCGGUAACUGACGUUGAGGCUCGAAAGUUUGGGUAGCAAACCGGGAUUAGAUACCCUGGUAGUCCACACGGUAACCGAUGAUUGCUAGGUGUUGGAGGGUUUCCGCCCUUAAGUGCGGCAAGUAAGGCAUUAAGGCUCUCCGCCUGGGGAGUACGACCGCAAGGUUGAAACUCAAAGGAAUUGACGGGGACCCGCACAAGCGGUGGAGCAUGUGGUUUAAUUCGAAGCAACCCGAAGAACCUUACCAGGUCUGGACAUCCCUUGACAACUCAAGAGAUGGAGGGUUCCCUUCGGGGACAAGGUGACAGGUGGUGAAUGGUGGUCGUCACCCCGUGUCGUGAGAUGUUGGGUUAAGUCCGGCAAGGAGCGCAACCCUUAUUACUAGUUGCCAGCAUUAAGUGGGGCACUCUAGGGAGACUGCGGGUGACAAACCGGAGGAAGGUGGGGAUGACGUCAAAUCAUCAUGCCCCUUAUGACUUGGGCUACACACGUGCUCCAAUGGCGUAUACAACGAGUUGGCAAUCCGCGAGGGUGAGCUAAUUUCUUAAAGUACGUCUCAGUUCGGAUUGUAGGCUGCAAUUGGCCUACAGGAAGUGGGAAUCGUUGGUAAUCGCGGAUCAGCACGCCGCGGUGAAUAGGUUCCCGGGUCUGGUACACACCGCCCGUCAACACCAUGGGAGUUUGUAACCACCCAAAUCCGUUGGGGUAACACUUCAGGGAGCCAGCCGUCUAUUGUUUGUAAGA